CAAUAAACAACACUCAUCUAUGACCUCUGCAUCAGUUCUUCCCUUCAGGUUCCUGUCCUGCUUGAAUUUCUGUCCUGACUUCUUUGGAGAUGAUGGACGACCGCCUGAAAAUGUGUGUGGUCUCUGUUGUCCUCAUCUCAUGGGUCUCUGAGGUCACCUACCUUCGUGCUGGCCACUGUGCAUCACACCAUCAAGUCUGCCUACUCCGCUAAGCCCCAAACGCACCGCUGGAACUCCGUCUGUAUGCUCUCAAUUCUUUUCUCUCUUGAUGCUUUGUUUAAGGACCCUCGAGUCCCUGUUAAAUCCUGUCUUACAGCUUGACAGUAAUGAAGGAUGUGAGGGUAACCAAAUACAAUGACAACAACAAAUGACAACUCGAUGAGAACCUUCCUAGAUGCUCGCUCUUGACUAAAACCCAGAGGUACGGAUCAUCACAGCCAGCCUUACCACUCCCUCGAUCCCCUAACCCCCACCGGGUUUCACGUCUCUCUCCUCACAUUUCUUGUGUGUCCAACUCUCACUUGUUCAGGUUAGUUCUUUCUAGAAUCAUAGGAGAACAUAAUCCUUUGUUCUACUGCAGCAGGUUGAAUUUAGGUCUUGCCUCUCCUAAGCCACCCCACAGCUCCUUUCUCUAACAGGGGUCUGCAGCCUGGAUCUCCUCGAGCUGCAGCAUGCCUCCUGCCAUCUAGAGUAAACGUACUCUUUAUAAAAUACAAGGAAAAGAAAUGGUUAAAUAACAGCAAGACUUUAACAUACUAAAACCACGUAAGUACUUCAAAUUACUAUGGCCUCUCCCAGGGCCCCUCUUAUGUUCCUGGACAUCAGUGAUGAAUGAACAGCCCGGUGGCACAUGGUGAGAAGCAAGCUGCAGUGUGAUUCCUGCCCACAUGAGACCCGGAUCCAGCCACUUGCUGCUGCUCACUUGUCCUCUGGAGUGUUCCACAGUGGCUCUCUCCUAACGUCUCUCCUAACGUCUCUCCUAACGUCUUCCACCCCAGUCCCACUCUCUAUGCCGCUGUCUCUCAGGACAAUCCUCCCAUCGCUCUGCAUCUGGUCCCCAGGAUUAUUCUUCACCACAGUGUGGACAAUUAAUUCCUUUGGCAUUCUUAUCUAACUAUUACUUACAGUUUUUCUCUCCACCUCAUCUGAGGACUGUGAGGACGGUGGCUUUGUUUCCUUACUACCCAGUUCCCGAGGGUCAGAUGAGAACAUUGCUUCACGUAAGAAAAACAGAAACGAAAACUGACUGAGGUGACCUAGCCCACAGUUAUCAGGAGGCUCUGCGGGAGGGUAGUGAUGGUAAGCGGCACCUCUAAGGCAUUUCAUAAACACGGAAACAUGACUUUGGUCACAUCCACAAAUGCAUGACGCUUUUCUGCCAUGGACACAAAAACGAAGGGUGCAACAUCUGUCUCUCAGGACAGCAAUGUUGUGAAGACAGGGCUACAAUAUUUUUUAAAGCUUCAUUCAUUUUUAUUUCAGGAUUUUGAGUGUUCAUCUGAAAAUAUAUAAAUGCACCAUGGGCAUGCUGGUACCCACAGAGGCCAGAAGAGUGCCCUGGAGGCCCCGGACUAGAAUUACAGAUGGUUGGGAACUGUAAUGUGGGUGCUGGGAAUUGAACCCAGAACCUCUGCCUCAUCCGCUGAGCCGUGGAUCCAGCUCCAAAUGUGCUCUUCAAAAUAAAGUUAACUUCCUAACAGUCAUACAGUGACAUGCGUUUCCAUAAUAUUCUAAGGGUGAAAUGAGAAAGAACAUGAUUUUAUAUGAGGAAAUUCCUCACAAGGCAAGAAUGUAGUAUGAACACGUAGACGUUCAGGACAGCAGUGAAUUUAUACAAUUACCCUGGUAAGUAUUUGUUAAGAGGGUAGGACUUCCUUUAGUGAUGUAUCACACACAGGACAGUGAAGGACAGAGGCAUGGCACACAGGCUGCAGUGCUCUCGUAGUGAGCGUUUAUCUCCAACCGUUAGCUUGUGUCUAUUAUUAAUGCGCGACUCUGAGUCUGGAAGUUAUGCCUCAGUGAAGCAAUUCUGUGUUUGAAAAAGAAAUUCGGGUUCCUUCUCACACAAGACUUUCAAUCUACUUUAAUCCAAACAGACUUACUCCUUAUUUGUUAUAUUAAACAACAAAACUAAGAAAGUGGAAUUCACGGAUUGCAGUCAACAAAUUGAGAAAACAACCAAAUUUCUUAUUCUUGAGGCAAAAGAAACAGAAAGCGUUCUAUUUUAAAGAGUUGAAGGUCAUUGGGCAGAGUGGUGCACCCCUUUAAUUCAGAUACUCUGAAGUCAGAGGCAGAAAGAUUUCCGUGAAUUUGAGGCCAGCCUGGUCCACAUGACGUGAGAGCUACACAGAAAUCUUGUUUCAAACAAUAAAACAACAACAACAACAGCGAUGAGGAAGGAUUGACCUCAUCUUUUAAAAUACUACACCUAAUUUUAUAAGCCCAGCCUGGUCCACAUGACGUGAGAGCUACACAGAAAUCUUGUUUCAAACAAUAAAACAACAACAACAACAGCGAUGAGGAAGGAUUGACCUCAUCUUUUAAAAUACUACACCUAACUUUAUAAGCCCCAGCUAAUCAUUAGUGCUUCCUAGACUGGUGUGGAAACAGCCUGUACCCCAUUACCUUACCAAAUAGGCCUCUUAGACAAAGCACGGUGGAAACGUUUGUCUCAAGAAAACCUAAGUUUACCUACUUAGUUGAAACCCAUUGAUGUUUUGUUUCUUUAUAUUUUUUCUGCUCCAUUCUGGAAAAUGCCCACUUCCCCUUCUACAGAAUGAUCUCAUUAGCCUUCCACAGGAAAGGACUUGAGCGGCUAAGCCACACUGAUGGCUGGUUGAGGUCAGUGGUCCCUGUCUAGGACGUGCAUCUCUGGCAGAUCUGGGGAAAGGUUUACUCCCUCUGGGGGCAUGGUGCUGCAUGCUGGGAAAAAGUGAAGCCACCCAUACAGAGAUUUCAUGACAAGCAUGAGUAAACUUCAUUGGGUGACAGAAAUACCCUACAACUUGACUAUGUAGUAGCCCGUGAAAUGCAGAAAACAGAAAUAAAAAGGACCUAUUUUAUGCCAUAUAAAUUAUGCAUUAAAAAAUCCAACCUUAAGAUGAAAUCCUAAUACACUUCUUUGUCUCCUUCAUUGCUGGCAGGAAUUAUGUUUUACUAGGUGGCUUGAGAAAAGUUUUGAUGUAUACCCCAAUGUUGGAAACACAAUUUUUAAAGUCUCUUCUCUAAUACUUUAAUAUCAAUAUGUGAUCAGUGUACAAUAUUCAAUAACUUCAUAUCUCAUUUGAAAAAUCUACAGCACCACAAAACUGCUUCAAUUAACAACAUGCUUUAAUGCAAAAAAUGGCUUGAGAAAAUGGGUGCUUGAGAACCAAAGUGAGAAAAUUUCUUAUGUUUGACUCUAAUGAGCUCAUUCUUCUACUUUCGUUUGUUAUCUUCUGAAGCAUUGCCAUUAUAAAGAAUAAUACUGUGUGUUAUUAAUAGCAUGAAUAAGUAAUAAAUAAUUUUACUAUAUGUAUAACUGCAUACUAUACAGAAUGUGAAACUCAGAAUAUAGAUAAAAGAAAGGGGAAGCCCUUGGUCCUGCCAAGGUUGGAACCCCAGUGCAGGAGAAUAUGGGGGGCAGUAAGGGUAAUGGAUGGGGGGAGUACCAGUAUGGGGAAGGGGGAUGGGGCAGGUAUGGGGACUUAUGGACAGGAAACCGGGAAGGGGAAUAACAUUUGAAAUGUAAGUAAAGAAAUAUAUCUAAUAAAAAAUUAGAAAAAACAUUUUCUAUGAUAGUGUUGUAAACAUGAAAGGUUCUAAGUUGAAGAUAUUUCACCUUGUGUCACUUUGUAACAUUGAGUAACAUCAGUUCUAAAGAGAAAGUAAAUCAUAACUACUUAAGGAAACAUUAUGAGGCAAUGAAAAUGAUGGCUUUGAAGUUUAUGUAGUUAAUGUAAAAGGCAUUUGUGAGGAAAUGUUAUUUUUUUAAAGAGAUGUAUAACUAUUAAUUCUGUGGGUAUCAAUGUUUGAAAUCUACAUAUAAAACCUGGAUGAAAAUGUGUCAAUUUGAAAAAAAAAGAAGUAUCUUAAGGAAAAAAAAUGACCUUUAGAAAUGUUUAAGCAUUCUAAUAAUGUAAUACUUUAGUUAAGACCAAAAGAUAUAAGAACUUUCCCCAGUUGUUUUAUUUGAAAUGAUAAGAGACAAGGAUAGUUAAUGACUUCAGAGAGAGUAUCCAUUUCCACUCUUCUUCCAGGGUGGCCCUUCAGAUACCCAUCUCCAAAGUUCAUUGUCCAGUGUCUCUCCCCCAUGGAAGAAGCCGUUUUAGAAAAGUUCUGACUCAUUAGUGUCUUGAGUUAUCAGAAAUGACAGAAACAUCAUCAGGAAUGAGUGUGAAGGUUUUAAAAGUCAAGGUAUCCACUAAGUGCCCCAACAAUUUCCAACUUUCAGACAGAGAAACUGUCUAUUAGUGGCAGAAUGAUUUGAUGAGGUAUUUUUCAGAUUCUUCUUAAAUUCCUUCUAACAGAUAAAUGUGGUGACCUCAGUCCAAGAAUAAGGCAUACAAACAUAGAUAUAAGUAACACAGAGAACUGAGGGCGUCCUAAAUAAGGAGAUGUAUAAUGGGAGCUCAGGAUAAAUCACAGGAGGAAACAUUUAUAAAACACCAAGUCUCCCAAAGAAUGAGGGAAGGAAAAAGGAAAAAGGAAGGAAGAAUCUCGAGUCCAAAUUCAUGUCUGCUCUGUCUUCUUUCCUACUUCAAAGGAUUUUCUUGCCUGCUAAGCUUUCCCUACUUCACCACUCAAAAAAAAAAAAAUGUACAGGUUUAGCCAUAGUCCACAGACAGUUAAAAUGGCCGCUUACACAUAAUCUUGAAUGCUGUGGAGAGAAAGAAGCAGAGAUGUACUGGGAUCUGUAUAGGAUAUUUUACUUGAGUCAAUAAAACACUAAGCCAAAGUACAACACGAUCUUCGCAAGCACGUUACCCCCAGGAUGGUUUGUGCUGCUGCCUGUGACGUUAGAGAGGGACACUAAUGAAUGACUGCAGACGGUCAGCUUCUGCGGGCCCAUCCACCGAGGAAGGAGAAGCAAACUGUGGUUUCAUUAUCGGGAGGGUGGUAGGGUGUGCCUGUUCACUAUGAGGACAGCAGCGAUACAUUUUCCUUAAAGUCGAACUUGCCUGAAAAUGAAAAAGAUCCCUUUGCGCGGUCAAUACUCCAAGUCACUGUAAUUUAUAAAUAUACAUGGGGAGGUAAUUUAGCAUAUAAUAAGAAAAAGACUACGGGACCUGUUAUGAAAUGAUAGAUGUUGAUAGUAAUAAUGAUACAAAGAUCUGUCUCCUCAGAGAAUUCCCACCUCAGGCAUCUCUGACAGGUAAUUGUGUGGAGGUGAGGAGAGAAUGUAUUCUUUCAGCUGGAAAAAGAUACAAACGCUGCUCCUCCACGAUCCUUUCUGCUUCAAAUGCCUCAAGCUGACCAUUACCAUCUCGUUAUUCCUUUCCUGAGGUUGACUUGAUGCUCCUUAACGGGUUACACACACAUAUUAGCAUUUCCUCAAUGUACCAAUCAGAGCGGAGACUAAAACCUGGCUGAUUGUGCAAAAAGAAUGCCUUAGCCGUUCACUUCACAUCUUUGCAAAUUUCUCAUGUGAUUUCGGAGCUAUCAAGAAAAAUUCUGUUCAAAAAUUCUAUGUAAAGAUGGACUGAUUCACUUGGUAUUAGCAAUCACUAGUAUAGAGAAAAUUUAUUUGCAUGAUCAUAGUAGCUGGGGGACAGAGGCAUGGCUUACUCCAAGAUUAUGGAAUGUCUUUCCAAAAACUGACAAGCAAGAAAAACAAAGACAAGAUUUGGGAAAUUGACAGAUUUUAAUUACCUGUUUUCAUGAUUUUGAGGGAAAUUCAUUGACCAUAUCUUCCAUGAAGGAUUGAUGCUUUUUAAUCCAAGGCAAUUGCAAACUUAAUCAGACUGCUUUGAUACAAUGGUGUAGAAUGUCACCGAAUAUCGAACAAAAUCCCUACAGCACAGCACAGGUAGUAAAUUUAACAGAAGAACAUCGCUUAUAAUUCUGAAGCAGAACAAUUCACUUAAGGUGGAGCAUUCUAUAACGAUGUUGUAGAUGUGCCCGACUUAACAAUAGUUUAAGGUUUGAGCAGUUUUUCUUCAUUGCUCUAAUGCAGUCUCUCUCUCUCUCUCUCUCUCUCUCUCUCUCUCUCUCUCUCUCUCUCUAACACACACACACACACACACACACACACACACACACACAGGCAUGCACAUUAGACAGCAUGGCUACAGUCUAAAUUCACUCUGUGACACUGCACCUAAUCUCUCUAAAGCAUCUCUUCAUUCAUUUUAAAUGAGAUUAAACAUAUACAUCAUAGAGAGACUGAGAAAAUUAAAAAAAAUAUAUAAGGCAUAUCUGUAAACUAGUUCAUUGCAACAAUGCAAAACGGGGUAGUCCCAGUUAAAUGGGAGCUUUCUGUAACACACACGUGGCAACGUUAUACUUGGAGGCACUGAAGGCCAUUGGAGUGACCAACAGCAUGGCUUCCUGAUGACUUCUCAGAAGAAACAGGCACUAGAAUCCUACUUGUGGAGACGUCAUCACCAUUAGAUGUCUUUUAAGUUGAUACGACGUUUGCUACUCUCAGAUGUGUGCUAUGGGGAGCUGGAUGUUGAUGGCACUGCCACUCCCUAAAGGUUACAGAAAUCCUUGACAACCUGAGUGGUAAGAAGAUGAAGGGCGAAAGCAUAGGUUAUCCUAGCACGUAGGUCACUAGCAUUCGAGGUCUACCUCAUGCUUCAUGUUCAGUGAGUCUAAAUGCAAUUUUUUCAAUAAUUGUAAUAGGAAUCCCAUGAAUGAAUGAAUGAAUGAAUGAAUGAACGAACGAACAAAUAAAUAUUGGCAGGAAGGAAGAGGGAGAAGGAGGAAUGGAUGGAGGAGGGAGGGAGGGAGGAAGGAAACCAAUACAAGCUGAACUAAAAGGGGAGAAGGUUGAAAACUAUUUCAUGCUUCUUUAAACUUGAACAUGACACAAAGUCAUCUCAGAUUUUACUUAUUUUGGCUUGGGUAUAUAGUGGGAAAGAGAGGGUGCCCAGCUCUUCAAAUGUUUGUACAGCAAAAACCCAAGACAAGCAUUGGCCUUGGUCCUCUGGGCAGACUCCCUGGGCUCUGAGAGGUGGGGCUGUCCGGUCCCGCCCCACCCUAAACAUCAAACACUUGCUGCAGUCCUAGCUUUGACAGUGCCUGCUACCACACUGCAAAGUUCUUUUUCUCUUUUCUGUCCUGGAUAUCAUAUUUCCAGCGAAGAGCCACAAGUAUAUAAUUUUCAAACGUGGAUUGAGUCCUUGGCAAAGCGUUAAUAAAACUGACUCAAGGUCGCAUCUUGGCCACGUCUUUAUGACCUUGGAGGCUGCAGUGAAGCUUUCUAAGUUUAUUCUUCACUCCAGGACACUAAGAAGACAAAAACACUCAACUUUUGAGGAACAGGCUAGAAAAGUCAUCAAUUAACUAGCGUGAUACCUUAGAAAUAUACAGCUAUAAUCCAUAGACCUCAAAUCUACUCUUACUGAUGCCCGUGAUUGGAAGAUUAAGUGUCACAAAGUACACCCUACUUGGCCUCAGAAGCUUAAGGAGAAAAAGUCUAGCGACUGUGCUUUGUUUCAGAUGAGACUUCUUUGAAAGAGUCCAUUCAAUUCACUGUGAUGGUAAAAUAAUCCACUUUUUUUUUGUAAUGACAACAUUGACCUGGCUAAUAAAGGAGUGUUUAACACCUCAAAAAGGCAUCAAUUAUACGACCCCACAUCCCAUUUUCCAACCAUAAUGAAAUACAGACAAUUAAAAUGAACCAGAAGUGAGAAAAAAAAUCAGCGUUUCAUGUAAGGAAUUACUUUAUUAGAGGAAAUAAAAAUACAAUUAGAGAUAAUUUUAAAAAUAAUGAAAAUGAUAACCCAAUUUCAGCUGUUAGAGAUCCUACUAAUUAGGUAGCUGGUUAAUAAUACAAGUAGAAAAUGUAAUCAGAUGCACAAUUACGGUACAUUCCUAUGAUUAUUAUGCAAAUGUUAAAUCUAUAGCCACAUAGGAGAACAUAAUGAGUCCUCACUUGUGUAACUGGUAAUUACUGGCUUUGCACACAUCGGGAUCAAAAUAAUAUCCACACAUCCUUUGGCAGAUAAUAACUUCAAAAACUUUUAAUUGAUGGAGCCCUCCUCCUUGCCUCCUGCUUUCACAUUAUAGUUUAUUGAUUACUGAGCUCCGGUGAGGUGUUAAACCCUUCUUUAUUAACCAGGUCAAUAUUGUCAUUGCAAAAAAAGUGGAUUUUUCUCCCCACUUACCAUAUAGUUUCCUACAGCCUAUAGCUUUCUGCUUGUAUGUGAUUAUUGUUUUUAAGUGUUUCUUUUCCUCUUCAUUAAUAGUGAGAACAGUUAGUAGGUGGUAAAAAUGAAGCAGCAUUUUCUUUACUAAAGGAUUAUCGAAGUCUCUGCUUAGAAUAUUACUUUUGGGCCAUACUGUAUAAAGCACCUAACAGAUGCUUGUAGGAAUAGAAGCAUAAGUAUAAUAAUUAAUAAAAAAGCCCCAUAGAAUAGACUUAAUGUGACCUAUGAUUAUAUAUGUGACUGUAAGAGAGGGGUAUUGGGAAAAGGACACGGUCACACAGAAGAAUGGAUCAAGAGAAGGAAGUCUCAUAGAAUGAAGAUCAUCGGUAUGCAUUAGAGUUUAAUUGUGAUUAUGGUUAUGUGCCCCAAGCUUCCUGUCAACUACUAAACAGAGAAGUCUGAUGAGAUUAAAGUACACAUGUUUCUUUGAACGCCUGUGGUGGAUACUGAGACACUGUCAUCCCUGACUAACAAUGAAAGCUACCACUUUAAUUUCACAGAGAGGAAAAGCAUCAGUACUCUCUCACUGUCUCUCUCUCUGUCUGUCUCUCUGUCUCUCUCUGUCUGUCUCUCUCUCUGUCUCUCUCUGUCUCUGUCUCUCUCUCUCUGUCUCUCUGUCUUUCUGUCUCUCUAUCUCUGUCUCUCUGUCUCUCUCUCUGUCUCUCUGUCUCUCUUCCUCUCUGUCUCUAUCUCUCUCGCUUUCUCUCUCUCUCUCUCUCUCUCUCUCUCUCUCUCUCUCUCUCUCUCUCUCUAGUUGAGAUAAUUCUUUAUGGAGAAUGUUCUCCCAUUGGCCUAUUAGUUACUCCCAGUUAAACCGCAUGAACGAGGCAGGGUAGUGCAUUUCUGCCCAUUGACAUGGCUAAGUUUUCAGGAUCUGUGAAUUUCUCAGCAUCCCCCAAGGAAGAGUUGUGACAGAAAUAUUUAAAACUACGAUUUUUUGGGGCUAACAAUAUUUUGGCCUGCUUUCUUGUUCUAUUUUGCUUUCCUAUCUUAUUUUUCUCCCAGAGUUUUGGUUAGCUAUUUUUUACUUCAAUCUACCUGCUGGGCUUGGGUGGUGUGACUUUAAUCAUAAUGAUUUACCUGUUUUGUGGCGUUACUAGAAAUUCCUGGAUCUUUUAAUUCUCUGGACUGGAUUCAAUAUCAAUCAUUUUUCCCACAAGGCAUCAGAAAGCUGAUAACAAUAUAUACUGAAAAAUGCAAGGUCAGCAAUGUGUAUCGCACACUUAAGAAGCUAAAGCUGACGCUAACAGAAGAAUAAUGCUUUAAUCAGCCAAUUCCAUCUCUUUGUCCCAACAUGAUAUAGUUCAUAAAACUAAUUGCCACAUAUUCUGAUUUAUAUAUUUCUCUAAGAUUAAGUGUGUGUGUGUGGGGGGCACCAACUGUGUGUGGGUGCACAAUGAGGCCAGAAGCAUAGAAGCCACUAGAUCUGUUUUUCUCAACGUUCCCAAUGCUGCAACCCUUGAACGCAGUUCCUCAUGUUAUGCCGACCCCCAACCAUAAAAUUAUUUUGUUGCUACUACUUCAUAACCACAAUUCUGCUACUGUCAUGAACUGUCAUGUAAAUGCUGCUUCCCAAUGGUCUUAGGUGACCCCACAGAUUGAGAACCACUGCCCUAGACCUAGAGACCAAGGGUGCCAGAACCACACUUAGGUGCUCUGGAGAAGCAACUGUGCUAAUGUCUAACCAUCUCUCCACCCUCCGAGCCCAUGGCUUUCCUUUAAAACCACUUAUGGUUUAUUCUCAUUAUUAUCAUUGGUCGAGCACAUCGUUUUCCUUAUCUAUUACGCAUAACGCUGCAGCCUUCAUGUAGGGCAGGAGUUCACUCCAACUAAUCAUGCAAACCCGAAAGACUGGCGGAAGUAGGAGAGAAAAUAUGGUUCGUCUCUAUUAGCGCUGAUGUGAGGCUACUCUGUGAUGACUUAGUCACGCGUGGGUAGAUAUGUCAUAUCAGCGUGUGUUAACGAAACAGAAGAAGAACAUGAGAGUCAACCGAACGAACCACGGGCUCCCACGGCAUCCACUGCAGGUGGGCUGAGCGCUGUUUGGAUUAUUAGGUAAAAGACUGCUCAAAAGGAUUCCUCAAACAGCCUUUACACUUCCCUUAAAGUCAUUAAACAUGAAUAAUCCCAAACACCAUCCUAAUCCACCCAGGAUGAAAUGACAGCAAUAGUCUCUCGUGUAUUCAUACUAAUGGGACUGUGUUUGCCCUGGAAAGGGAACAGACAAGGCUCACUGGGGUGUGUGUCGGGUUGGGGUGGGAGGGAUAGGAUUUCUCUGUGUAACAGCCCUGGUUGUCUUAGAACUCACUUUGCAAAUCAGGUUGACCUCGAAUUCAUAAACAUCAGCCUGUCCCUGAGUGCUGGGAUUAAAGGCAUGCGAUAUCACGUGCCCAGCGUAAGGUGCACAUUGAAUGCAGGUAGGCCUAGCGUACUGUACCAGUCUGAAUGUGCACUGUUAUGCACAAUAUGUCAACAGCAUAACAUAAAUGACAGGCCUUCGUGCAAGCCUGCAGCAGCUUGCUGGCUUGGCCUAAAACCACAGGCAGAACCAGUGUUCUUCAAAGCAGCUUCGUGGACACUCGAACACUAGUGGGCACGUCUGCUGUCACCUUUCCUUUACCAAUCUGUAUCAAAUAGCCAUGUGUGAGGCUUCAUAUUUUCUCCGAUGAAACUGAUGCCUAUUUAAUUUUUUUCCCUUUAGUAAUGUGUGUGUGUGUGUGUGUGUGUGUGUGUGUAUGUGUGUGUGUGUGUGUGUAUUCGUGGUUCUAAUAUACCUUAGUUCUUAAAAACAAGUACUAAUGUGGGUGAGUGUUGAGUUUGCAUGAAUGUUUGUGGACUUCCUCACUCAUGCUUUAUGUCCACUGAGGCCAUCAGAUGCUGCUGGAUCUCCUCAGACUAGAACUACAGACAGCUGUGAGCUACCAUCAGAGGGUUGGAACCGAUGCUGAAGCUGGUACUUCUGGAGGAGCAGCCAGUGCUUUUGACUACUGAGCCAAGUCUCCAGGCCCAUCGUGGUUCUUUUUAACACUGAAAAUUCAAGAGUCAACAUGAGUGUUUCUCACAGGGGAUACCUUUUGUAGUUUCUCUUAGGCCUCAGGAUUAAUAUAUAUGAAAUGAUGUGGAAGCUGAGACUCCUGUCUGUGACUUACUGCUGAUCUCUGUCUUUGGAGUCUGAGUGUGUGAGCUGAAAGAUCAGAAAUGGCUCCUUUGCCUUGUGAAAAGGUUUGGAAACACGAAACGGGACGAAGACGUCUUUAUGUAAAAAAAUAUGAAACAUUUUAGAAGCAAGAUAUUUUUGAGUAUGGAUAUUUUGAAUAGUUAAAGUUUAACUCACAGAAAGGCACAGGUACAUAGACUUGCAAACACAUGUACGUGAACACACACACACACAGACACAUACACACACUCAUACACUCACACACAUACUCAGACACUCACACACACACACUCAUACACUCACAUACACAUACCACAUUACACAUACACACACACUCAUACACUCACAUACACACAUACACUCUCACACACACACUCAUACACACACACAUACACACACUCAUACACUCACACACACACUCACAUACACAUACCACAUUACACAUAUACACACACUCAUACACUCACAUACACACAUACACUCUCACACGCACACACACACACACACACACACACACACACACACACACGCAUCCUUCAGUAUUUGAUUUAUCAUGCUUAUGAAUGAAGGAAGCAGAUUCGACUCUAAAUGAGGAACUUUCCAGAAAGUAAUCACAUUAAAGCUCUCAGUAGUUUCCACCAUGUUUUGGGCUUUCCCUUAGUGUAAUAUUCAACAAGGCAGGUUUGUUCCCAACUGCUGUAUUUUUGCAAUAUAUGAUAAAGUGGGAUAGAUUCAGUUAUUGCCGUUCCUCUGGCACUCGCUGUAAAUGAUUUUAUAUUUAAGUUACAAAAUAACAGUUGUGAAAAGCCUGUUAUUUGAAUCCCUUUUAAAGCAUCAUAAUCCAAAUGGUUUUUUUGAAAGAAAUUAUGGAAUAAAAGUCAAGUUUUACAAGUACUAACUCCUCACACUUAUGUUCUAGAAGGAAAAGAAAAUCAACAUAAAGAGAGUGAGAUUAUCCUGAAAAGUCCGCUGGGGCCAAAAACGUCUAUAAUUUUCCUGACAGUCUUCCAUGAAGAUAAAUGUGAGGUAUCAAUCAUUUCCAUGGCAAUAGCUUCUGAUGUCGGCGCAGAGAGGAACAUGGAUUUACAGUAAGAAUGGGAAGGUUAUGGAUAAACGAAACUUGGUAUAAGUUCUUAAAAACAGAAAACAUAGACCCCAUUAGACUCUUUCUAUAUUGAGGCUUGUUUCCAUGGCAUAAGUUGCAUAUUUUUACAUGAAUAUUAAAUUUCGCCAAUAAUCUGGCAUUUAUAAAAUUCUUCAAAAUUGCUUUUUCAGGGCCAUAGGAAGCUUAAACAAUUUAGAACAUGAUUAUACUAAGAUGUUUAUAAAUAUUUACCACACCCUAGAAAAAUAAUACUCAUAUUAAGGAAAGUUUAAAAAAAUAUAUGUUUGGUUCUUCUUCUCUUAAGAGACACUCCCACUUGAUAAUUCUUCAUCAUUUUUCCUUAAUAAAUUUGUUUGUUUCAUUCAAGCAAACAAGAAGUACUCCAAAACGUAGGCAGUGAAAGUUAAAUAUAGGUAUAUCUGUCAAGUCUGAAAAGGAAGACUCUCACGCCCGGAGUUAUUAACGGUUCCCAUAGGAGGCAGUCAUAUCUCUUUUUGUUUAUAUAUGGCUAAGUUCACAGUGCAAUUGCAAUUGUAAAAUAUCUCCAGGAGUGACUGGAGAGGGGACCUCAUUCCAAACAGACUGGAAAAGACAAGGGCGACAGGGACAUGGAGGAACGGUUACAUCGUCAUGGACUGGCGAUAACAUGGGGUAUGCAAUGGAAAACAUAAUAGCCCCAGAAAGUUAAUCAUACAAGGAAAGGAGUUGGAACUCACAAACAAAGGCAGUACUUUAUACAGAGAGAAUGGGGAUAGAGAAAUUGGAUGUAAGGUAUGACAGGUAACUCUACAAUAGCCUUUGACUAGUCCACACUGUCAAGUUUUCCGACAUUUACAAAUUAGAUUUACCUAGGAGACACUCCAAUUAGAAGUUAGAAAAUGGAUUUCAAUGAAGAUGAUGAUGAAAAUGUAGAAUUCGAUAAGGCAUGGAAUGAUCAAAUUAAAGCAUGAACAAUUGAACAAAACUUCAAAUCAUUUAUUUAUAAAAUUUAGGUAUGUGUUUGAAACAAUGCAAAUAUCUAUGCACAUUAAGGAGAAGGGCUAAUCCAUAUGGUCAAGGAUCUUGUUCUGCUUUAUUAUUUUAAAACCUCAAAUAGUUGUGUUAAACAAAUACACUGCCUCAAAAUAAAUUCUCUAUGGCAUGCAAAGGGCGACACUUGUAAAGAACACAGUGGCUUACAUUUUGAAGCAAUUGGCUUGGCAUGUGAAACCUAGCCCAAAAGGUAGGUCGGAUCCACAAUUAACAGUGCCACCGUUUCUUGAAUAUAAAUCAAAGAGCGACAACAGUUUAUUAAUGUCUUUCAGAAAGUUCACAUUCUACUGGCCCGGUAUGGAUUGUCACUAUGUGUUCUGGAGGCCCUAGGAUGAUGAUUUAUCUCCAUCAGCCAUAGGCCAGAAUUACCAGACUCCAAUUACUUUGCUUCCCAGUUUCAAGAAAGAAAGGGAGAAAUUAUGUCAGUCCUACCACGGGAGAUGGCUUAAAGUGCCCGAGGAAGAGAAAGUAAUCUACUGCUCCCUGACAUUCACUGCCUGAAAGUCAUUCGCAUUAACAGCCAUUCAAACUUGUUUAGUGCAAGCCAAUUGCUUCCAUUUCCCUCUUGUCAGUUACAUUAGCUGCAAUUGAAAUUUAACCCUUAGAAAAUUAAAAAAAAAUAAAAUAAUGUAAGACUCUCCUACAUUCUGACAAGGCCACUUAAGGAUCCUACUAGGACGCAGUGUUUCUUAAUGGGUCGGCUUUAAUAUAGUGGUCGGGAAAUGUUGAGAAAGAAUAAUCUUCAUGAGAAAUUAAAUAUAAUUGCCAAGAUAUAAAAUAUGAAGACAAACCUAUGCACUGAUUCUAUGUAUAGCAAGAGAAGAAUAAAAAAUCAUAUUGUCCCUGAUUACAACCAAGACCAUGUCAUAUUUAUGAUGAUAAAGAAGAAACCAAAUUAUAUUUCAAACUGCAUAACAUAAUCCAAUAUUCUUUCACUAAGAACUAUUAAACUCAUAUAACAGACCAUUAACUUCCAGACAAGUUAGAGCUUACAAGGUUAAGAUCAGUGCUACAAAAAAGAAAUUGGGAUGACAUUUAAAUAACAUCAAGCGCCAAUAUACCAUUAUACAACCUAAAGAGGACUGAUGUAUGCCUAUUAUGUUGAGUUAGGAGACAUUCACAUUUUACAAGCUAGUUUACUAUUUGUUUUCUAUUCUUUAAUAUUUAAAUCUUAAUGGUGUGACCAAAAUGUAUGAUAUAUAUCCAUCUCCCCAGGAAAUAAAUCCUACAUUUUUCCCUUGUAAUUCUUUUCAAAUUUAUUUCAUAGUCUCACACUGGGUGUGUUUAUGAGUUUCUAUGCCAAAGAAAAAUAGUGGAAAUGAGAAAUUGGCUGCACUUUUCUAGGAUUUACCUUAUGUGUUCUUGGUAAAACACACAGAGUGUAGCAUAAGUCACACAUUUCCUAAGGCGGCCUUUAUCAAACACAGGAGAAUAACCUGAAGCUAAAGCAGUAAGAUCCAAUAUGUUUAGAAAGAAUUCACUGUCAAACCUUUGAAGGGAAUAUUUCAAGUCAAGAAUGAGUCAAUAUCCCUUUAUAUAUUUGACUAAUAUAAAAAGAAAAGACUCACCUAGAUAAAUCUAGAUUAAUAGAUUUCUUGUAGAUAGAAGAAAUGGUAAAAACUGAACCAUAAAACAAUUUCUACCAAAGUAGAAAUGUUGACAAAUCUGCAGAGGACCCAACUCAGAGAGGGGAACCAGUCAAGUAAAUAGCAUUACACCUUAUUUGAGACUGGGUCUGCUUCACACUUUAUUUGAGAGACUGGGUCCGUUAUUAGGUUAUGUUAGGUAAGCUAGUUGUCGCAGCCCUGGAGAUCUUUCCUCAGUUCUCCGGUCUCACCUUCUCUCUUACUAGACAGGUCCAGCAUCCAGCUUUUACAUGAAUGCUAGGAUCAGAGUUCAUGUCACCACAGUUACUUUAUAAGGCCUCUUAAACACUAAACCAUCUGUCCAGUCUAAAGAAUAAUUUCACAUUCACUAAAUUUACUCUUUGACAAUCUCCCAUACCCCACGCACAGAUUAAAUUCUGACUGCUCUCAUCUUCCUCCAACUCUUAUUAACCCCUACCAAAAAAUAAAGAAGGAGAGAGAGAGAGAGAGAGAGAGAGAGAGAGAGAGAGAGAGAGAGAGAGAGAAGAGGAGAGGAGAGGAGAGGAGAGGAGAGGAGAGGAGAGGAGAGGAGAGGAGAGGAGAGGAGAGGAGAGGAGAGAAGAGAAGAGAAGAGAAGAGAAGAGAAGAGAAGAGAAGAGAAGAGAAGAGAAGAGAAGAGAAGAAGAAAGCAUUUCAUCCUGAUCUGUCUUAGGGUUACUAUUCCUGAGAAGAAAAACUGUAAUCCAUGAAACUUAUACAGAAAGGGGGCAUACAGAAUUGGGGGCUUACAGUUUCAGAGGGUUGGACCAUGAUCAUCACGGAGGGGAACACGGUGACAGACAGCCACGAUGCUGGAGCAACAGCCAAGAUUUUACAUCCUGAUUAUUAGCCAACAGACAGAAAGAGAAAGAGCGAGACUGCUCCUGGCAUGGUCUUUUGAAGUCACGAAUCCACAGCAGUGAUGCCCUGCCUUCAACAAGGUUACAUCUCCUAAUCUUUCCUACUAAAUGAGGCCCAAGUCUAUUGGGAGAAGGGAGCAUCUCAUUCAGAUCACCGCACCACAUCUAGCUUCGCGUUUUGUUCUAUAACCAGUGUUAUCUGUGCUACGAAGGACAAGAACACACAUACACUGGGGUCUGGUGGUUUUACCAUCUCGUACAUGACAAUUGAUAUUCUGAAGAGUGAUCGUUACAUGUAGCAAACGGGCUACCAUUACACAAACAGUAUGUAUAGAAAGCCUUUGGACUGGGAGUGGCCAUUCAUAAGUUACCCCUGUCCCUUUUUUCUGGCUAUAUUUAAAUCAUCAAAAUGGAAAAUGGGGGAGUUGUUUUCAUGUGUGUAAAAGGAGGAAGAUAGAAGCAGGCUGAAUAUACUUACUUCCUUAUGCAAUAACUGUGUUUCUACUCUCACAAUUCUCUAUGAAAAUCAUUGGUCUAGAUCACUGGUUGUGCUCCAUAUCUAUCCCCUUUGAAGCAAUAAUGUUUAAAACUUUAUGAAACAGAAUGCUGGGUCAGAAGCUCCAUGUGUAGCUAGUAUCACCUGUCCUAACUGGUGCUGCGAUUUGAAUGAGGAUGGUUCUCAUAGGCUCAUACAUUUGAAGGUAUGGUUCCCAGUUAGUGGAACAGUUUAGGAAGGAUUAGGGGAUGUGGCCUGACGGGAGGAAGUGUGCCAUUGAGAUUGGACUCUGAGGUUUCAAAAGCACACACCAAGCACUGUCUACCAUUCUUUCUACCUUCAAUUUGCAGAACAGGUAUGAGCUUGAGAGCACCAUGUCUGCCUGACUGCUACUACAUUAUCUGCCAUGAUAACCAUGGCCUGGCCUACCCUCUACAACUGUAAGCAAGCCCCCAGUUAAAUACUUUCUACAAGCUGCCUUGGUGAUUGAUGGUGUCUCUUCACAGCAGUAGAGCAGUAACUAAGACAAAUGCUAAGUUUUAUUUAAAUAUGGGACACAAUAAUAAAGCUAUGAUACUAUACAAGUUAUUAUCAUACUUUCAAAAUAGCUACCAAAUGAUGUAAAAGAUAUUCUAAAAAAAACCUGUCUGUAGUGUUCUUAAGAGGAAAUCAUUGCUUUUACUGACAAUACUAGAUAUUGCUCUUUUGGGCAAUUUACAGUGGAAGGAAGGAUAUUCUAGUGUAGAAAUGCAACUUAGUGAGAACAGGAUUAUCUUUGUUUCAGUCCACUUAUUACCUAAAUAAAAUUAAUGAACUUCAAGAAAGUAAUUCAUUUAAGAGGAGAACUUGAAGAUCCCACCAUCAGCGCCGCUUGACAUACAAACGCACCCUGCCUCCAAACGGUUCCCUCAGAAAGACUUCCCAUGGUCACCUCUCCAUAUUCUCCUCACUGUAGCAAAUACCACAAAAACUGCUAUCAACAUGAUCUACCCCAUGUGUAUUUAUUUAUUUAUUUAUUUAUUUAUUUAUUUAUUUAUUUAUUUAUUUAUUUAUUUAUUGGAGCUGGGGACUGAACCCAGGGCCUUGCGCUUCCUAGGCAAGCGCUCUACCACUGAGCUAAAUCCCCAACCCCCCCCAUGUGCAUUUAUAUUCAUAUAUAUUCAUAUAUCAGUCAAGGUAUCCAGAAGGAAACAUAAGUGUUAAACUUAGCUCUCUGAUAGAAAUAUAAACUUGAAAGAAGCAAGAUCCUCUAAUUCUAGUUUCCAUGAGACUCCCCGCCCCCUCUGUGUGUGUGUGUGUGUGUGUGUGUGUGUGCGCACGUGCAUGUGUGUGUAUGUAUGUGUGCAUGUGUGCGUGUGUGUGUGUGUGUGUGUGUGUGUGUGUGUGUAUUCGCAGAUGCAUUCUUUAUAACAGAAAAUCA